GAGAACUUCGGGAGGCGGGGGAGGAAAGCGGCCGGCGAGCGCUGGCUGACAUUUUCCUGCCCGGAAGGAUGCAUGGCCCGGGGUCUCCUGCACCUGAGGGUGGGCGGGAGGCGGCCCCGCGGGUUGUGUUGCUGGAAAAAGGGGUCUCGAUCCAGACCCCAAGAGAGGGUUCUUGGGUCUACUUCAGGGAAGAAUUGGAGGCGAGUCACAGAGCGCAGUGAAGGAAGCAAGUUUAUUGGAAUCUACUCCGUUAGAGAGUGCAAGUCCUCAGACUGCAGGAGGAGGAACUCCCGUCCUUCGGUAGUGUCACUACUUAGAGGCAGCUGUGAGGAGCUGUGAUUAAUCGUGGAAUGUGCUGAUGUGCCCACUAAAGGAUGCCUGGUAAGCAGUGGCUCCUCUAACAAGUGGGCAGCUUGGAACUGGGAACGAGAGAGCCACCGAAACAGAAUGAGGGAGACAAAGAAGUGGGCAUCACCCUUAACUCCACAAGGGCUUCCCAAGGGCGCUGUACCGUACGCAGGCCCAGGACGAACUUUAUUUCUCGCCCCAGCAUCGCUGUCCUUGUCGGUGAGACCCUGGCUUUAGGGCAGACAGGACCACGUUUCAUAAGUUCAUGCUGUCCCAGCAGAGGAAUAACGCCAGAAAGUGUUCCAGUACAACCAGAGAAAGAGAGUCCAUGAGAAAUCUGCCCUUGUGAAGUUGGAAUCCCCUCAACCUCACCCCGCUGACUUGAAUGAAGCGACUGAGACGGGCUAUGAUGGAGCAGAUCCGGUUGCUCGACCUUCUCCCUUGCACCAACACAUGUAGUUAAUAGUUACUGGACAUGCAUAUUCAGUGGGUUCCAGGUACCAAACUUGUAUUGAAUGGUAUGUGCCAGACACCGUCUUGAGAUCUGGAGAAUAAAAAAAUAAAAAAAUAAAAACGAGACAUCCAGAGCACAGUAG
rnacentral:lncRNA from 1 species